rnacentral:tRNA from 1 species
GCUCCCAUGGCGUAGUGGUCACUGCGCUCGCCUUGCACGCGGGAGACCCGGGUUCGAUUCCCGGUAGGGUCA